rnacentral:rRNA from 18 species
UGUGUAACAACUCACCUGCCGAAUGAAUUAGCCCUGAAAAUGGAUGGCGCUGAAGCGAGCGACUUAUACUCAGCCAUCAGGGCAGAUGCGAAGCCCUGAUGAGUAGGAGGGCGUGGGGCUCCUGUUGUGCAGCUCGCGGCGUGAGCCGGAGUGAAACGUGCCCUAGUGCAGAUCUUGGUGGUAGUAGCAGAUACACAAAUGAGAACUUU